CGACCAUUAGGUGGAAAUUUCUGUCGUGCACUUGAUGGAUUCUACCUGAAAUCCCCCACCACUAUUGCCUGGACCUGGGAAGGCGUAUGUCUAGAUCUCCAGGGCACUCAUGAUUCUAUCAAGGCAUGUAUCUAGAUCUCUAGGGCACUCAUGAUUCUGUCAAGGCGUGUAUCUAGAUCUCCAGGGCACUAAUGAUUCUAUCUUUUGCAACCACUGUUGUGUUAAUGACACAAAAGUGGAAGUUUCCCCACAAUGCUGUGACCCAACUGUAGUUGCCAAGUUCCCAAGGCCACAGCAAGAUAAAUAAGAUUCCACUUGUGAGCAAGGAGACCAUAUACAGUGCCUUCUCCCAGAGCAGAACAUACAGAGAAAAAAACAACUGCCUAAUCUGGG
rnacentral:lncRNA from 1 species